rnacentral:lncRNA from 12 species
AAAAAAAACAAAAAAACAGUGAAAAAACCAAAAGCAUCUCCAGCACUUCUUUCAUUGUUUGGCUUGAGAGAAAGGAAAGAGAGAGAGAUGACUUCGAUUAUAUAUUUGACAACACUAAGAGUGAUUUCUGAUGCUAAGUCUCAUUUAAGCUGAAGACAGUUGCUAAAGUGAGAUCCAGAGAUUUGUACAUUCCUAGCUCCCAAGGAGAUCGAGCUCUCCUCAAUCUGCCACAGAUUCCAGGGACUGUUGGACAGUGAAUUCUGGAUGAACAGACACUCUGAAUUCUGUGAGAUGGCCAGCCUUCAUGUUCGGGACUGUAUAUUUUGAAUUACUGUCUUUCAAUACCAGUUUCAUUUUCUCAUUAUAAAUAUGAGGAUUCUGUACUCUUAAUGUGAG